rnacentral:rRNA from 1 species
CCCUUAGAUGUCCUGGGCCGCACGCGCGCUACACUGACAUGUUCAACAAGCCUCCUAGUUCGACAGGAUUUGGGAAAUCUUUGAACGCAUGUCGUGAUAGGGAUAGAUCAUUGCAAUUAUUGAUCUUGAACGAGGAAUUCCUAGUAAACGCGAGUCAUCAGCUCGCAUUGAUUACGUCCCUGCCCUUUGUACACACCGCCCGUCGCACCUACCGAUUGAAUGUUUCGGUGAAGAUUCCGGAUAGGACUUUUUUGAUUUAUUUCAAUUUUGUCUUAAAAGCUAUCUAAACCUCAACAUUUAGCGGAAGGUGAAGUCGUAACA